rnacentral:lncRNA from 1 species
UUUUUUUUUUUUUUUUUUGUCUUUUUUGAGGGCUGCACAAGUGGCAUAUGGAGUUUCCCAGACUAGGGGUCGAAUUGGAGCUACAGCUGCUGGCCUAUGCCACAGCCACAGCAGCAGGGGGUCUGAGCCUCAUCAGCAACCAACACCACAGCUCACGGCGACACCAGAUACUUAAUCCACUGAGCAAAGCCAGGGAUCAAACCCUGCAUCCUUGUGGAUACUGGUGGGGUUUGUUAACCACUGAGCCAUGACAAGAACUCCCCCACCCCUGCAUCUUUCAAAUCUCCAAUGUCUUGGGAUAAUUUUUAUUGGAAUUUGGGGUUCCAUGUCAGUCCCCAUACCGUGAUAGGGAUAUGCUAUGGAUGCUUAACCAUUCACCUAUUGGAAGGGGGUUUUAUUCCUUAAAGUUGGGGGGGUAACAACGUGGGGUCCGGAGAGGUGUGGUCUCCCAUUGGCCUUAUUCAGUUCCCCAUAUCAGUCCUUGUCCAGUAGAGUCUUAGGGGUGGAAAUGUCCUGUAAGUCUCAUAGUUUCUUUGUCCUUCCAAUAAACUGAGGCACAGGGGAUUAGGGAUUACUGUCCAUCUGGGCGUAGGUUCACUCCCUAUAGUAAACAAGGCGUGUGGGGGUGUUACUCCCUGGAGCCUUUAAGCCACAAAUGUUAAUCAGUGGCCCCAUCAAAGAAGGGGGGAAGCCCAUGCUCCUACACGGACUCCCUGAGUUAGAAUUCUGUAUCAGUUACAUCUUAAUGGUACAAUCACUGAAACCUGGACAUCAGUAUUGUUGCAAUGCUAAGGAAAUUACAACCCACCAAAGUGAUAGGAAAAUUUCCAUAAACCUAAAACAUUUGAACAUUCAGCAGCUGCAAGCAAGAAACCUUUCUACCUGAAUUUAAACAAAGCCUCCUGAAAGUACAUCUGCCAGCAUGAAGAAACUUUGUCUUUUCUGCUGUAAAUCUGUCAGUCGUCAGUUAUUCCCAGCCUCCUUUCCAACCCCUACCAUUAGAACCAAGUCCACAGUCAAGGUAGGGAUUGAUAUAGUCAAGGCAAAGAGCUCUUUUUUCACAAGCAUUACUUAGAACGAGGAAAGGAAUUCUGUUACAAGUUAAGUUUCCCCCACUCCUUUCCCUGCCUCUUUGGUGAUGUGACCUUGCUUAGUUUCUCAUACCUCCUAAAGUGUGGCCUGAUUUAAAAAAAGAAAAAAAAAAAAAAAAAAAAAAAAAAAAUUUUUUGAACUAUUUUGCAACCCAAAAGAGGGAAUGAGGGAGGAUACCUCUAGGUCCUAAUGUGGAAUAUCUCCAGAAAGUAUAGGGUACAGAGGAUGCCACCUUUUAGAAGGCCCAGGAGGAAAAUAAGCAACUAUAUUUCUAUUUGAUUACACUCAUAUGUGAAGAAUACCACAAUAAUAUAAGAUGAUAAAGGCUUUCUAAGAUACAUGAGCUCUAGCUGAUAGCUUAUAUAAGCCAUAUAAGCUUUUUAAGAUGUAAGCUCCUCUAUGGGGGAGGUUGAAAGUGGCCUGGAUGGGGACAGGACCACGGCUUUUUUCAGCAUAGUUACCAGUUCAAAACAAAAAAAGUUUUAAGUCAGACAUGUGCAGGCAUGAUGGAAGGGGAGCAGGGAUCCUUUAUCUUGGUGGCUUUUGAAAGUUUUUACUCUCCCACGUUGCCGAAACUCGGCUUCUGUCCACUGGUACCAAGUAGAAAUGCGGAGACAAGAGUUUUGGAUGAAGGAGGAAAAAAUAGCUUUAUUGCUUUGCCAGACAAAGGAGGGUCACAGCCGGCUAAUGCCCUAAAGACUGUCGUGUGUGUCCUCCCUCUUUGGGAGCAAAUGGGAGGUGGUUUUAUAGUUUGGGAGUAGAAAAUAGGGUCACUGAUGAGGAUCAGGGUAGAAGCAAGCGUGCAUUGUUUUUCAAAGCUGAUGUUUAGGUGGUCCCAGCGUUGAUUCUGAUGCUCCUUCUUUUGGAAUGAAGAGUGCUACAUUGACAUCUUCCAUUUGUUAGGGUUUUGGCUCUGUGGGAGAACUCAAAGAUAUAUUAGGAGGAACCUGGAUCCUGCCCGGAGGCUGCACUCUUGUCUCUGGACAGCCCCUUCCCGAUCUCUGCAUCCCCUCCCUUCCCUGAGGAGCAACUGUUUGAACCUGCCCUUUGGACCUCAGGAAAGUUCAGGGAGGCUGAAUGAAGCCUGUUUCCUGAAAAAGAAAUGGGGGACACAGACAAGGCUUGUUCCCAGGAGACCCCAGGGCCCUGCUCAGUUACAUCCAGAGUCAAGCAUGUGAACUGCAGGGUCCAGCCCGGAUGACACAUUAGAAAUGCAGAAGCUCAGGCAUCAUCCUGAGCCUGCUNNNNNNNNNNNNNNNNNNUGAACCAGAGUCUGGGUUGGUGGGCCUGAAAUACUUCUCUUCUUACCUGAGCUCCCCGAGGUGAUCUGGGUGCUAAGAGUGACAUCCCCUGAUUUAAAUCUCAGGAGCAUUCAUGUCAAAGACACUAACAGAGUCAUUGGGAAAAAUUUCCAGGAUAAGCCAGUUCUUUAGUUUAAUUAUGUGUAACUGUAUUUGGUAGUCAGGCUUUGAAGAAAUCAUAAAACUGUCUGUAGUGUGAUGCUGCACGUAUUAUUUAAGACCUAGAGCUAGCAUUUUUAAAAACAAUCCUACUUUGAAAACCCAAAGAACACGUGGUUUGGGCAUUUAUGCAUUUUUAAAAGUCUUAGUGUCAAAAUUUUUAUUAUCAAAUAUUUCUAAUAACACAGAAGAGUGUGGGAAAAAAAUAACUGGUACCCAUUUACACACAACCCACAUUUGCUAUUUUUUAAAAAGAAAUGCAACCAUUCUGCAUGAACCCUGCACUCCCACAAAGGUCACCUGCACCCGGGGCCCCAGUGGCGAGGCCAGGUAUGGAUCACGGCACUGGAGACCAGACAAAACGUAGCUGAUAUCACCUGGUUUAUUAUACACAGUUAGCACCCAACACAGGUUAGUCGAAGCAGGGAAACUAGAAAAGGGGGUAACAAGUCCUCCCAGGAGAAGCCCAGGAGGGAGGCGUCUUGGCGCAAGUGGCUGUCCUGGUCCAGGAUGCGUCUCCAGAAAAAGUGGGGGAACGCUGUCUUCCGCUCCAGCAGGGCCUCCGACAGCAUCCUCCUGCGCCAGCUCAGCAGCACAGAGUCGGGUUGAACAGCUGAGAGCCUUCGAGUCUCCUCAGUGUUCUUUCUAAGGCUUCUCCCUGUCCAUGUAAUGGUUACAGCCCAGGGGAUCUUGUCUCCAUCAGUUGGUUCUUCUCUUCACGGAUGUCUUUCCUCAGACUGCACCAAACAAAUUCCUUACCACUUAAUUUAUCACCCUAAGAAGCUGGGUGUCCACAUUGUCCUCUGUGACUCCAUCUUGAAUUACUUAGUGCACCUUAACUUCUGUGAGUUUCCCACGAGAUGAGUGGGGAUCAUAACACAAAAGAAAUCAUAGUGAAACCGCACUCCUGAAGCCGAAGCGUAUGCUUCCUGUUUAUGUUUUUAAACUACAUCAGUGUGUGUCAGUGAGAAUGUAUACUAGAAUCUGGUGUGUUUUUAAGGAGUACAUAAAUGCUCUCUGCCUAAACAAGUCCGUUUGCAGAUAGCUUUCUGUGCUUACUAUUAUAUUUAUUAUACAUUAUGGAUAAAUCCUAGUCUACUUUAACUGCUGCAAAAUAAUUCGAUUCAAGGGAGUUCCUGUCAUGGCUCAAUGGUUAACAUAUGAGCAUCCAUGAGGACGCAGGUUUUAUCCCUGGCCUUGCUCAGUGGGUUAAGGAUCUGGCAUUGCUGUGAGCUGUGGUGUAGGUCGCAGACACGGCUCAGAUCCCGCGUUGCUGUUGCUGUGGCUCUGGCGUAGGCUGGUGGCUACAGCUCCGAUUGGACCCCUAGCCUGGGAACCUCCAUAUGCCACCAGUGUGGCCCCAAAAGACAAAAAACAAAAAAAAA